rnacentral:tRNA from 1 species
GUGGAGAUAGUUUAUAAGUUGAAAUAAUAUCAUAUUGAAGCUAUGAAGAAGAUGUUUUAUCUUUCCACA